GCUGGGUGUGGUAGUGCACGCCUGUAAUCCCAGCUACUUGGGAAGCUGAGACAGGAGAAUCACUUGAACCUGGGAGGCAGAGGUUGCAGUGAGCCAAGAUUGCACCACUGCACUCCAGCCUGGGUGACAGAGAGAGACCCUGUCUCAA
rnacentral:SRP_RNA from 1 species